GGCCGGCUGGCGCAAUGGUAGCGCAUCAGACUUCUAUCUUCUCGUCUAUGAAAUAUAGUCAUCUGGGGGUUGUGGGUUCGAGCCCCACCUUGAUCA
rnacentral:tRNA from 1 species